ACGCUCGACACCUACGGGAGGCAGCAGUGGGGAAUAUUGCACAAUGGGGGAAACCCUGAUGCAGCGACGCCGCGUGGAGGAAGAAGGUCUUCGGAUUGUAAACUCCUGUUGUUGGGGAAAAAGNGGAUGGUACCCAACAAGGAAGUGACGGCUAACUACGUGCCGGCAGCCGCGGUAAUCUGAGCGGGCUGGCAAGGC
rnacentral:rRNA from 1 species